rnacentral:rRNA from 1 species
CCUACGGGUGGCAGCAGUGGGGAAUAUUGGACAAUGGGCGAAAGCCUGAUCCAGCCAUGCCGCGUGUGUGAAGAAGGCCUUCGGGUUGUAAAGCACUUUCAGUGGGGAAGAAAGCCUUGGGGCUAAUACCCUCGAGGAAGGACAUCACCCACAGAAGAAGCACCGGCUAACUCCGUGCCAGCAGCCGCGGUAAUACGGAGGGUGCGAGCGUUAAUCGGAAUUACUGGGCGUAAAGCGCGCGUAGGCGGUCUGAUAAGCCGGUUGUGAAAGCCCCGGGCUCAACCUGGGAACGGCAUCCGGAACUGUCAGGCUAGAGUGCAGGAGAGGAAGGUAGAAUUCCCGGUGUAGCGGUGAAAUGCGUAGAGAUCGGGAGGAAUACCAGUGGCGAAGGCGGCCUUCUAGACUGACACUGACGCUGAGGUGCGAAAGCGUGGGUAGCAAACAGGAUUAGAUACCCUAGUAGUC